UGAGAAUUAAAAGUUGAAGCUCAGGCCAC
rnacentral:piRNA from 1 species